UUUUAUUAAUUUUUUUAUUAUUUUUACUUUUGUAAUUUUGUUAAUUUGAUAAUGUUAUAAUUUUGAAUAAAGAUUAAUUUCUUUUUUAUAUAUAUAUUUGUUUUCUAUUUUUAUUUUUAGGUCUCAGAAGACUAACUUAUAACAUUAGUGCCGAAACAAUUUAGGUUUUAAACUAGCUGCUUACAACAGUAAUACCUAAAAGAGAGUCCCAGGGGAUUUAGAUUAUCUAUCUAACGCCAACCAAACUCCAUACAAGAGAAAGAAAUUCAAAACGGAAAAGAGGUCUCAAAAGCCUCACUUAGAACAAUUAUUUAUGCCGCAGUCUCAACUAAACAUCAUUUCAUUCCCAACAAAGCAUUAUGGUGGCAGUCCACUACAUACUCGAUGAAAUCGUCUUUCUACAAAAUCUAACUCAACACAUCUUAUAUGGGUUAACUAUGGAGUAAUGAUAAAAUGUACAAAUUAUGGAAUGCAUGUGGAAGGUCCAAAAUUUCUGAAAUGAUAAAGGAUAACAUUUCAGCUAUGCAUAACCA